rnacentral:rRNA from 1 species
CAAAGAAGGUAAUAAUCCUGUAGUCGAAAAUGUUGUCUCUCUUGAGUGGAUCCUGAGUACGACGGAGCACGUGAAAUUCCGUCGGAAUCUGGGAGGACCAUCUCCUAAGGCUAAAUACUCUCUAGUGACCGAUAGUGAACCAGUACCGUGAGGGAAAGGUGAAAAGCACCCCGGAAGGGGAGUGAAAUAGAACCUGAAACCGUGUGCUUACAAGUAGUCAGAGCCCGUUAAUGGGUGAUGGCGUGCCUUUUGUAGAAUGAACCGGCGAGUUACGAUUUGAUGCAAGGUUAAGCAGUAAAUGUGGAGCCGUAGCGAAAGCGAGUCUGAAUAGGGCGUUUAGUAUUUGGUCGUAGACCCGAAACCAGGUGAUCUACCCUUGGUCAGGUUGAAGUUCAGGUAACACUGAAUGGAGGACCGAACCGACUUACGUUGAAAAGUGAGCGGAUGAACUGAGGGUAGCGGAGAAAUUCCAAUCGAACCUGGAGAU